rnacentral:rRNA from 1 species
UGGCGGCGUGGAUAAGACAUGCAAGUCGAGCGGGACAAAUCGGGUAGCAAUAUUCGAGAUGUUCAGCGGCGCAAGGGUGCGUAACACGUGGGCAAUAUUCCCUGAAGUUCGGGAUAACUCCGAGAAAUCGGAGCUAAUACCGGAUGUGAAGCCCGCUAGGCAUCUAGCGGAAUUGAAAGUUGGGGACCGUAAGGCCUGACGCUUUAGGAUUAGCCCGCGGCCUAUCAGCUAGUUGGUGAGGUAAUGGCUCACCAAGGCUAAGACGGGUAGCUGGUCUGAGAGGACGACCAGUCACACUGGAACUGAGACACGGUCCAGACACCUACGGGUGGCAGCAGUCGAGAAUUUUUCUCAAUGGGGGAAACCCUGAAGGAGCGACGCCGCGUGGGGGAUGAAUGGCUUCGGCCCGUAAACCCCUGUCAUCUGCGAGCAAUUGCUCCGGUUGAACAAAUCGGAGUUUGAUAGUAGCAGAAGAGGAAGGGACGGCUAACUCUGUGCCAGCAGCCGCGGUAAUACAGAGGUCCCAAGCGUUGUUCGGAUUUACUGGGCGUAAAGGGUGCGUAGGCGGUCAAAAAAGUCUGAUGUGAAAUCUCGGAGCCUAACUCCGAAACUGCAUUGGAAACUGUUUGACUUGAGGAGUGGAGGGGAGACUGGAAUUCUCGGUGUAGCAGUGAAAUGCGUAGAUAUCGAGAGGAACACCAGUGGCGAAGGCGAGUCUCUAGACAUUUCCUGACGCUGANGCACGAAAGCCNAAGGGAGCAAACGGGAUUAGAUACCCCGGUAGUCUUGGCUGUAAACGGUGCGCAUUUGCUGUGGGCGGAUUCGACCCCGCCAGUGGCGAAGCUAACGCGAUAAAUGCGCCGCCNGGGGAGUANGGUCGCAAGAUUAAAACUCANNAAAUUGACGGGGGCCUGCACAAGCGGNGGAG